UAUGAUUGCUGUUUCCAGGUAGAUGAAUAACAAUUAUGUAGAAGAGGAAUAGAUUUUUUUUUCUGCUUUAUCCCACGAGGAAGAACUAGAAAUAAUAGAUGGAAGAUGAAGAUUAUUGAAGAAAUGGAGAAUUAAAGCAAUCCACUGCAGAUUUCAGCCACAUAAUUGCUAUCCAAAUAUUACACUUACAAUAGUUACAGAAAUAAUAGAGAAGGUGGAAGAAUACCAAUUCAGAAGCCACUUAAAUAAUUCACAUCAUAAAAAUAGCUCUGCUAAAAGCUUUGCUGAGGCUCCUGCUUUCUGCUUUUCAGCUACAGACCAAAGAUGAUUCUAAAUAAAGAACAAUUUCA
rnacentral:lncRNA from 1 species